rnacentral:rRNA from 1 species
CCCUUAGAUGUUCUGGGCUGCACCCGUGCUACACUGGCAGGUUCAGCGAGCUUCAUGCCCUGAUCUGAAAGGAAUGGGAAAUCUUUUCAAAACCUGCCGUGCUUGGGAUAGAUGUUUGCAAUUAUUCAUCUUCAACGAGGAUUGCCUUGUAAGCGCACGUCAUCAGCGUGCAUUGAAUACGACCCUGUAUUCUGUACACACCGCCCGUCGCUCCUACCGAUUGAAGUUUUCGGUGAGUUGACAGGAGGAUUUUUUUGAAACUGGUUCGCCGGUGGAUUUUAGAUCCAAAUGCCAACGAAUCGAUGGCUUUAGAGGAAGGAGAAGUCGUAACA